GGGGUGACUAGUGACAGAGUGAGGGAAGGGGUGACUAGUGGCAGAGUGAGGGAAGGAAGGGGUGACUAGUGACAGAGUGAGGGAGGUGGUGACUGUCACUAGUCACCACCUCCCUCACUCUGUCACUAGUCACCACCUCCCUCUGUCACUACUCUCUCCCUCCUUCUGUCACUAGUCACGCCCUCCCUCACUCUGUCACAUGUCAUCCCCUCCCUCACUCUGUCACCAGUCAUCCCC